rnacentral:rRNA from 1 species
AUUGAACGCUGGCAGCAUGCCUUACACAUGCAAGUCGAACGGCAGCACGGGAGCAAUCCUGGUGGCGAGUGGCGAACGGGUGAGUAAUAUAUCGGAACGUGCCCAGUAGUGGGGGAUAACUGCUCGAAAGAGCAGCUAAUACCGCAUACGACCUGAGGGUGAAAGGGGGGGAUCGCAAGACCUCUCGCUAUUGGAGCGGCCGAUAUCAGAUUAGCUAGUUGGUGGGGUAAAGGCCUACCAAGGCAACGAUCUGUAGUUGGUCUGAGAGGACGACCAGCGACACUGGGACUGAGACACGGCCCAGACUCCUACGGGAGGCAGCAGUGGGGAAUUUUGGACAAUGGGCGCAAGCCUGAUCCAGCAAUGCCGCGUGCAGGAAGAAGGCCUUCGGGUUGUAAACUGCUUUUGUCAGGGAAGAAAUCCUCUAGGUUAAUACCCUUGGGGGGAUGACGGUACCUGAAGAAUAAGCACCGGCUAACUACGUGCCAGCAGCCGCCGUAAAAC